rnacentral:rRNA from 1 species
ACUACGGGUGGCAGCAGUCGAGAAUAAUUCACAAUGGGGGAAACCCUGAUGGUGCGACGCCGCGUGGGGGAAUGAAGGUCUUCGGAUUGUAAGCCCCAGUCAUGUGGGAGCAAAUGAGACAGUAAGUACCACAAGAGCAAGGGACGGCUAAAUCCGUGCCAGCGGCGGCGGUAAUAUAGAGGUCUCAAGCGCUGUGCGGAUUUACUGGGGGGAAAGCGUGCGUGGGCUGUCUCGUAAGUCGUGAGUGAAAGGCGCGGGCUCAACCCGCGGACGGCACAUGAAACUGCGGGGCUAGAGUAAUGGAGAGGGAAGCGGAAUUCUCGGUGUAGCAGUGAAAUGCGUAGAUAUCGAGAGGAACACUCGUGGCGAAGGCGGGUUCCUGGACAUUAACUGACGCUGAGGCACGAAGGCCAGGGGAGCGAAAGGGAUUAGAUACCCGGGUAGUC